UUCGAGCCGCCGCCACACAGCCGUGGCCUCUCGCUGCUUUUCUCUUUCUCCUCGUUGCUGUGCUGCUUGUUCUUUGUGGGGAGGUCUGGGGUGGUGGGUGUGAAGCCCACCCUCUGAAGCCUCCGCUCUCGCUUUCCUUCUUUUUUUGUUUGUCAGAAAUGGGGAGUGUGUGCCCUCUUCUCUCAAGGUGCGUGAACAAAAUGUCUUCUUUAACUUAGAGAGUUUCAGUUUUUAAUUAAAUAAAAAAAGCUUUUUCAUCCACUUUGCUUGUUCCUAUCCUCUGCAAUCACCCAGGCCCUGGGACAGCUGUGAGGCAGCUCACUUGGAAGAGGCAAAUGCCAGGGAGGAUACAAAACUCACCAGUCCACAUGAUUUGUCACAGUGUUUGUAGUGAAUCACUUGCUGGUGCUACAGAUUAGUGCUGAACAGAGGUGUUUCCAUUCCAGCAUCAACACUAAACUUCAUGGUUGCCUCAGCCUAUGACUGUUGUGAUGACGGUAAAACUCUUCCCACCCCAUUCCAAACAACAGCGUGUUUGUGUAGAAGGGAAGAAUAUGUUCUUCAGACUUGUCUGUUACCUUUCUUUCUCUCUACAAAAGGGUUGUAACUUAACUUCAGACUUCCAGAUCUUAUCCCCAGAAUAAAGUCUUUCUGUAAGUAAAAGUGAUGUGUUUAGGAGUGUAUAUUACUUCUUAAUAUUGCUUGUUUUUAUAUUGUUUUUCUAAGACCAAGUGAAAGAGUGAAGGAUACCUGUGUUUGGAUUAGUGGGGAGAGCCAAACAUAUCUGGGAAGAGAAUCAGAUAAUAUUUGAAUAUACUUUUUAAAAAUUUGCUUUUCAAUCCAUCAGGGUUUUUUUUUUAAGCUCUAUAGAUUUGCAGUGGUGGUUCUUACAUAAAUAGGCACCUGGAUAUUCUUGGAUUGAUUUGUAAAACUGCCAUCUGUAAGUUCAGCUCCUUAAAAGACUGUUUUCCAGCUGUUAGCAGUGAAACUAUUUCAUUUAGUUAAAAAGAAAAAAAAGGUAAUCCCUCCAAUUCACACUGUGUGUGUGUGUUUCUUUGGAGCUACAGGUAGGGUGACUGUAGCAUGCACAGCGAUUCCUGUGUAUUAUGUAAUAAGUAAUUCCCCUUUUGCAAAAGGUACCUGGUGUCUCACUGCUGUAACUCAUGGAGUUCCCAGCUGAUAACAGGGAACUGUCAUUCCCUUCUGUACCCCAAUAUCUUACACCUGUAUUCAUUAAAAUGCUUAUCAAAUGUUACUAUAUUGAACUACUUUGUUGUGCUUGGAGAUACUUUUAUGUAUAUAGGAGAUGAUAUCCCAAUUUUAGAGCUGGGAUUUCACAAAGGAGUUUUUCCAGGAACAACACACUGUGUGAAAGGAAACUGGGACCCCAAUUCUGCAUUCAUACUGGUGGGAACAGAUCCUUAUGGGAUCCUACAUUAUUUCCUGAACUUACAGUCAGGAAUCCCAGAUGAUGAAAUUACUGACUGGUGAAUGUAAGAAUAGUCAUUUAAUAGAAUUUUCAAUUUAGAUUUACGCUUUCCAGGUGUUCUAUGCUAUUUUGCAGUAUUGUUGUGCUUGGAUUUUGAAGCCAUUAAUAAAAGUAUGAGCAACUGCAGUGUUUGGUACCAUGAAGACAAGUAAGUAUCAUUGCAGGUGGGUGGUGGAGUCACACAAACCAGUUUUAGAUCACGGGUGGAUGACAUAAUGUGUCUGAACCUAGGAAACAGGAAAUAUUUUAUCAUAUGCCAAUCCUUACUUAGAAGGAACCCAAACAUUUUCCUCUUGUAUUUCAGCAGACAGCUUUGUUUUUCUGUUUCAUUGUAUUUCUUUUAAAGAUAACAUCAAGUGUCUACCUGAUUUUGAAGUACUGAACUGUUAAUUGUCAUGCUGCUAAAGCUUCAGAUUAGUAAAGGACAAUGUCAGUCAUUAUUAGGCCUUGUAUCUUUAGACUGUUACAAAACAGUAAAGGUUUUUUGGUCUUUUAAAUACUUGGUGGAGUCUGCAACUUAUUCACUAAGAAUUUAAAAUGGAGAAUAAAACAUUAUGUGCAAAGUAAUUCUGCCUGAUUUUCCCUUCUAUAUUUUCUGUACCUUUUAAUUAAUAAAUACGUUUCUCAGAAUUCUGCUGCCAUCUUCUAUGUUUAUGUGAGGUGUCUUGUUGAAGAAUGUUGCACACAGUGGAAAUUUCAAAAGCAGGUCUUUGUAGUUUAGUUCAGCUAGUCUUUGGUGAAUUAAAUUGAGAGGGAAACUUCCAUCACCAUUUCACCCUCACCUUUCCCAAGUAUUGUUUAAGGGGGAUAGAGUAGUGGUCUUUAAACUUCUGAAAGUUGAAAGGGUUUUCUCUCUCCAUUAAAAAAAUAAAUUAAUGAAAUCAUAAUUGUGCUGAUGCUUGAUGCUUUUGUGGAGCUUUCAUGGAUUUAUUGUGUAUCUUCCAGAAUUAUUAGGGAUUUUGCCUUGGGUUUCAGAUAGAGCAGGAACUCGUAUUGCAUUUGUUUUUUUCUUUUUAGCUUUGAUUGUAGUAACAGGUUACUUCUGUGUUUGGAGGGACUAAAGAGAAUUACUUUUUAAAAAGUAUUUUGCAUAUAUAUAAAUAUAUAUACAUAAACCCAUGGAAUUCUAUGAAAUAUUUUAAGUAUAGAAUAAGACACAGUGAGUGAUCUACCAAAAUAUUUUUGCUUAAUGUCUCAAAACAAUUUAAGCCUGUUCUGUGUGGUUUAUAAUUAUUUUCUUUUCCUCUCCUUUUUAAUAAGGCUACUGUGUGCUACCCAGGGAGCACAAAAUACGUAUUCAUGCAUGUGGGCUGUAUAAGCAACCUGCCUAACUUUUCCUUCUUAGGCCCACACUUAGGAAAGAUUAUGCAGAAGCUUUGCUUUGUACAUGACUAGUCUGAUUGUUUCCAGUGGAAGUAGCUGAUGUGGAGUUCAGCGCACAAACAAGUUUUAACUUUUGUACUAAAUGCAAUUCAGAAUUUCUCCACAAAGUGUCAUUGGCAUAAAGGAAAAACUCCAUAGGAAAAAACACAACAGCUUGUGUUAGUAGCAUAAAUUCUUCAAAAGGGUAGCUGCAUGUGAAUUGUUAAGAGUGAUGCUGCAACAUACUUCACAUACUGGGGGAAAUAAGGGCAUAUCAUCUCUACCAAUUUUUUAACAACUGUUCUUCUGUUGUUUGUUGUGUUUAACUGCAAAGUGUUCUUCCAUCUUCAGUGGGAUACUCAGGUGCUCACAUGGUACAAAUAUACUCAUGAUCUCUUGACGUUUGGGGUCUACUUUUCACUAUAAAGAAAACGGUUGUUUUUUUUUUCUUUUUAAAUUGUAAAAUUUAGUUGCACAGAGCUUCAUUUAAUUGACAUAGACUGGUCUUCAUUCCCAAAGUUUAACUUUGAAUAUCGGCAGAAAUAUCAGAUAUUGAUGUUUUUGCACAUUAGCACUUUUGUUUUUACAGCUUCACUUAAGAUUGGAAAUAAAAUUGCAAGAAUAUCUUUUUGUCUUUAUAAGUUAUGUCCAUCUAUAGGACCACUUCAUGCUGAGUGCUUGUCCUCACAACAAUCCUAAAUGUGGAGUGGGCCUGAGGGUUGCAGUAUUGUGGGAGUUGACAGUCCUGUGUGUCCAUUACAAGGAUAUCUGGCACAUUGGAGCUUCAGGAGGAAAUUUUUCCAAGAAUUCACAUUUUUCAUUGACCAAAUAAGUAGCUCAGGAUUUGGUCAGGGUGGGAGGAUUUCAGAGUGAAAUGACAGAACUCAAAAAUCCUUGCUUUCAUUGAAACAAUGGAUUUCUAGUAGUUCUCCCCUCUUUCAUCUGUGUUCGUUGUGAAACCAAGGUAUGUGCUUUUUUUGUUUUCCUUUUUCAAUUUUUUUUUUUAAACUGGAUAAUUGACUACUUUUGUGGGAUUCACACAGUUGUGUAUAAAAAUUAUAAAAAUGUCCUUUUUUUUUUUGAACUUCAACUUUUGUGUCAAUUUUGUCUUUCAUAAGAACAGGUUUGUGGGAGGAGCAAGGGGGAAUUGGGAAGGAAGAACCUCAUUGCCAUCAGUUGCAGCAAAGUGAGAAAGCAUGCUGAAUGACUGUUUUAAAUUAUAAAAUUGACCAUGAUGGUGAUACAUCAGUUUAUUAAUUUUUGUUUUGUUUGUUUUUAAAGAUUUAAUUGUAAUUCAAGCUACUUGUUUCCUUCUGGAAUGGUGAAAAUUAAAGAAACUGGAGAGUCUUUUUACCUGGAGGUUAACACAGUGCUGUUAAAUAACUGACAAGAUAAAGUUUUUGGCUUGGUUUUUUUUUUUUGUAUUUUUUUUUUUUUCUGUCUGCUUCAGCCCUGUGGAAGAUUAUCUCAGUUGUCAGUUUUCACUGUCCAACAGUCUGUGUGCAGAAUUUAGGCUUUCAGCAGAGUGUUUGGGAAUUUGGAACAAGGUCCUCAACAAAAGGUCAGGUUGUUUGUGUGAGCAAAUACCAAAGGUGCCAUAUCAGCUCAGAUCGAAGACCCAGCUGGCCUAAUGUCUCUUCUACAGCAGUGGCUGCUCCUUAGGAAAAAUCUGAGAGAAUGUGAAUGGAUUUGCCUCAUCCUGGUUUCUGGAAAUCAGCAUUUUGAAAGCUUGAUGAUGGGGUUUAUUGCAAAACUUUGGAAAUAAACUGUGUCAGCUUGAGUUAGUCUUA